UCAAAAACAGAAACUUUCCAUGAUGCCCUGUCUUUGGCACAGAUGGCAUUGUUGCUCCGCCUGCUGUCAUUCCAUCAAGUCUACUUGGUAAUUGUAGGCUGUCCAUGUUGAAAGAAUGAAAAUGACAUAAAAACCCUUGGUUUUAGAGGAUUCUUCAGUUGCCUGCGUACUCGAUCCCAUUUUGACCAGAGAAUCCUCCUGCUGAAUUGACAAGAGACAACUUCAUCACACAGAACUUAAAGAGUUUGGUAACAAAGCACUACCACUCCAAAAAUGGCACUAAUUGAGGAGGCAAUUGAACUCACUGAAGAAUUCUUUGGAGAUGCUGAAGAGGAAGCUGAAGGACUGUCAGAAGACGUACAAGAGGAAAUGAAAGCUGAAGUGGCUGAAGCCAGCAGUGAGGUUGCAGAGUUCUCCAAAGUUGCUGAUGCUUUGAAAUCCUUUCUUGAGUUUGCCGCAACAAACAUACCAAAGGUAGCAGCAUUUGUCGGAAAAACUAUUGAAAUGGGUGUUAUCUUGUGGGGAGUAAAUGUGCUUCUGACGAAAUUAUUCCCCCAUCCAAGUUCAGACAAGAGUAAGAAACGUACUGCUAUUAAGGCACUCACCACUGUGAUCAAGACUGAGACUGUCUUGGGACAGAAGACCUUGGAGUGGAUGAAGGAGCACAGAGAUGACCACAUUACCCUGGGUGAGAUUGAUGUGCCACUGGAAUCAGUUAUUGCAAAAUAUAUCACACCAAUAUCUGAGGCUGUUGACGAAACCUUCAAGAUCGCAAAAAACCUGCAGUACAAGUUGGAUGGAAAAGUUCAGUUCAAAAUCCCAACUGGAGAAGACAUGAGAGAAAUCCUUACAACUGGUGAUGCAUUUCUCAAAGGAUUCAAUGACCUGGUUGUCUUCAUCUCUGAAAAUGUGCAGAAGAUUGAACAGCUGGCAACCUUUCCAGUGAAACAGGCAGACAUCGACCUUCUUACAACUCAGCUGAAAGAUGCCAAGGACUUACCUUUGUGGUAAAGAGAUGAGAUACUUGAAUUUGUGCUUCAGAAAGGUUGGUUUUCUCCAUAUGAUUAUAAGUCUAGCAAUGACUGCAGUAGUUGAUCUCUGGUUUCUAAUUGGUAAAAAAAUGUAGUGUCAAUCUUUAAGGUCAGGAAAGUUUUCAAUGUUGCAGACCUGUGUUUAAAGUAGAUAUAUAGUGAUUAACUCUUGCAGUCAUCUUAUUCUCCAACCAUUUUUUCCCUCUUCAUUCAUAAUUUACAUUUCACACACUAAUAUCUAAAUCUGUAAAAUAAAUUACAUGCAGCUACCUACUCUAAACUCUUUUACUAACAGCAUUCAGUGUAAGAAAGUGCUUUUUUCUUUUUUAAAAUCCCCGAAAAUGAUGGAGCUGUAGGAGAUAUUGGUUAAUUACAGUUAAUGAGGUGUUGGGUUAUACUGCUGUCUGGAGUUAUGGAUUUGAGGAGGCAGAGCUAUGUUAUGAUAUAAUAUCACAAUGUGUAUAAACACUGCAGCAUGUGUUAACCGAUACCAUGUUAAUCAGUUUUACAGUAAUGUGUGAAUCGUUGUUUUUGCUUUAUAUUAUCAAAUAAACACU
ensembl:lncRNA